UAACUCUGACCCUAUUUGUUUCUCCAGUGGAGCCAUCUUUCCUCCAGAUCUCCAGCAUCCCUCAGAUCCCUGAGGUGGAGAGGCUGCUGGUUCUCUGCUGCCGGGUGGAGAACUUUUACCCCCAGGACGUCCACCUGGAGUGGUCCAGGAGUGACGGAGAACAAGUCCAAACUGUGACUCACUUUGGGCCUUUUCCCGACCGCAGUAGUAGACUCUUCAGUGUCUGGAGUAAAAUCCAGCUGCUGAUGGCCAGAGAGGACGAUAAGGCCGUCUACAGCUGUCGGGUUUACCAUCCCAGCUUCCCGACGCCGGGCUACAAGGACGUCCGGUACCACAUCAACACUCAAGGAACUCCUCCUGAUGUGAUGUUCAUUGAGUGUGACCCUCCAUGUCCUCUGGUGAACAAAGAGGUUACGCUGCAUCUGUGCAUCAAAGACUUCUGUCCUGAAGACGUGUCGGUGACAUGGACGAAAGACGGCGAGUCGCUUCUCUCCGGCGUCUUCAACACUCCUCCCAGCCUGAACAUCAACGGCCUCUACUCCAUGUUCAGUUUUCUCAAACUCACUCUGAACGAUGACGACCAGAGCUCCAGGUUCAGGUGUCGGGUGGUUCACAGCGCUCAGAAGGAACCUGAGGAGAGAUUUUUUCAACUGCAAAACCUGACAGACAGCUGAUCAUGUCCUAAAUCUACUCACUAAUAGAUUUUAGUCUGCAGUGCAAAAAUGUAAAAAAAUGUACAACAGAUACAUGGUUGUGAUGCUUGCAUUGAAUUAGCAUUGUUAUAAAUGUUCCGCUAUACAGUGCAAACAAAAGAAGAAAAAGUUGAGACACGGUUUACAUGAUCCUCACACACUUGGUUAUAAAGGUUGAGAUGCUGUGUAAAUAAACAGUAUAAACCAUAUGUUCAAUUGACAGUCACACAAAGACAACUGAAUGAAUGUUCCAUCUAAUUUUAAUUUUGAAAAAUACGUGGUUUUAGUCUAUUUAUGUUUUCCAAGUUUAUUCCAACUGUGUGGCAGUUAUAUUUACUAUUGCCACUCUCAAGCAAUUGUCUGUAAUGUUAAGAUUUUGUAAGAUUUAUGACUAAUAUAUUUCCUGUGGAAUCAUUUUUA